CGCCCGAACCCCUCACAGCGCCGCCCGCCCGUCCUCGCCUCCCCGAGCCCCCGGCACUGGGUGCCCGCUCUCAGGGCGGGCUUGGCCGGCGCCGCAGCAGCCUGCAAUGGCGGGGCGGGCGCGCGGGAGAAACCCCUGAGCAGAGACGCGGCCCGGGGCGCGGCGGGCACGAGCGCGAGGACAGCCGGGCGUCCUGACCCGCGCGUCCCCUGACACGGCGGCGGGACACGGAGCCCAGCGGAGCUGGCACACCUUUAGGCAGAAAGGCGAAAGAGAGGAGCAAGGAGAAGGGACAGGGCUGCUUCCACACCAAGCCGCGUGCCCUGUUCCCCAUCCCGGGGCCGAACACGGCCCUGACCGCUCGGCCGUCCGGGUGACACGAGGCUCUGUGCGCACACUUCCAUUUCUGCUUUCCACUUGGAUAGCAGAAACUUAGGAGCACAGCAAAUGGAAUACUGUUCAGAUUUCAACAACUCUCUCCGCAGCAGCAGGUUAUAUUUUGUCAACUCCUUCAGCAUUCAAUGUGUCAGCCAACUUUCCAAACUCCCCUCAAGCGAAAUACCGAAUGCACUGGAAAUUGUUUCUGGAUCAUUUCUUUUCUGGGUGAGAGACAGUUUACCAACGAUGUGGUAUACAUGAAGGAAAAACAACUUUAUUAAGAUUUUAAAAAAUUAUUUUUCUUUUUCGCUUUUCUGUACAUUUCAUAGCAAGUUGGAAAAAGAAUAAAAACUGCAAUUGCGCGGAAGUUAGAGAAUGUGAAUGAAGUGUACCUUGCUUGCCUACGUACCUGACCUGUUCACCAGUUACUCAAGUACCAAAGUGAAAUUUUGUAUGGCCUUUAAUCAUCUUUCUUACAAAUAUCUCUGAAAUUAGCUGCAUUGUAACUCUCUGCAGGUAACUUAGACAUCAAACUGCUAUCUUCUCCCUGCUAAAUCCCUUCUAAUGGUAUCGCUUCUGUGUCUGUCACUAUUUCUAUGAACAUAACAAUAAAACAUACUGCCAGAUCGAAUGCCAUUUUUGUAGGGCUUAAAGCUUCAGUAGGCUCUUCCACCCCAUGCCUACUGUGAAUAUUUUCUGACGCAAAUCCACUUUAAGACUCAGAGUGCCAACAAGUAUGCUGAAAAGGAGCAUCUUUAUCUGAAAUCCAGGUGGUGUUGGGCGGAGAAGGAAAAUAUAACAGAGAUAUAUUCUGAAGUAAUUCCAAAUAAACUUUCUCAUGCAACAGUU